CCUACGGGGGGCUGCAGUCGAGGAUCUUCGGCAAUGGGCGCAAGCCUGACCGAGCGACGCCGCGUGGAGGAUGAAGGCCUUCGGGUUGUAAACUCCUGUCGAGGGGGAUCAAGGGGCAACCUUGAGUGAUCCCUGGAGGAAGCACGGGCUAAGUUCGUGCCAGCAGCCGCGGUAAGACGAACCGUGCGAACGUUGUUCGGAAUCACUGGGCAUAAAGGGCGCGUAGGCGGCUUUUCAAGUCAGGGGUGAAAUCCGGCAGCUCAACUGUCGAAGUGCCCUUGAUACUGAUGAGCUCGAGGGAGGUAGGGGUGUGUGGAACUUCCGGUGGAGCGGUGAAAUGCGUUGAUAUCGGAAGGAACGCCGGUGGCGAAAGCGACGCACUGGACCUCUUCUGACGCUGAGGCGCGAAAGCUAGGGGAGCAAACGGGAUUAAAUACCCUGGUAGUC
rnacentral:misc_RNA from 1 species